UGUGGAUCAGGGAAGCUCCAGGGAUUGCUGGCAGCAGGAGAUGGAUCAGGAAGGCUCCAAGGAUCACGGGCAGCAGGAGGUGGAUCAAGGAGGCUCCAGGGAUUGUGGGCAGGAGGUGGAUCAGGGAGGCUCCAGGGAUUGCUGGCAGCAGGAGGUGGAUCGGGAAGGCUCCAAGGAUCAUGGGCAGCAGGAGGUGGAUCAGGGAGGCUUCAGGGAUUGCUGGCAGGAGGUGGAUCAGGGAGGCUCCAGGGAUCACGGGCAGCAGCAGGUGGAUCGGGAAGGCUGCAGGGCUCUCCAGCAGCAGCAGGUGGAUCGGGAAGGCUGCC